CACGUAGGGCGCGAGCGUUGUCCGGAAUUAUUGGGCGUAAAGAGCUCGUAGGCGGCCUGUUGCGUCCGCUGUGAAAGCCCGGGGCUUAACCCCGGGUCGGCAGUGGAUACGGGCAGGCUAGAGGUAGGUAGGGGAGAAUGGAAUUCCCGGUGUAGCGGUGAAAUGCGCAGAUAUCGGGAGGAACACCGGUGGCGAAGGCGGUUCUCUGGGCCUUACCUGACGCUGAGGAGCGAAAGCAUGGGGAGCGAACAGG
rnacentral:rRNA from 1 species